UACGGAGGGUGCAAGCGUUAUCCGGAUUCACUGGGCUUAAAGGGUGCGUAGGUGGGCUGGUAAGUCAGUGGUGAAAUCUCCGGGCUUAACUCGGAAACUGCCAUUGAUACUAUCAGUCUUGAAUACCGUGGAGGUCAGUAGAAUAUGUCAUGUAGCGGUGAAAUGUUUAGAUAUGACAUAGAAUACCAAUUGCGAAGGCAGCUGGCUACACGAAUAUUGACACUCAGGCACGAAAGCGUGGGGAUCAAACAGG
rnacentral:rRNA from 1 species